rnacentral:rRNA from 1 species
CACGCCGUAAACGAUGAGUGCUAAGUGUUGGAGGGUUUCCACCCUUCAGUGCUGCAGCUAACGCAUUAAGCACUCCGCCUGGGAGUACGGCCGCAAGGCUGAAACUCAAAGGAAUUGACG